UCGUACGCUUCUUUUUCCACCGGAGCUUGCUCCACCGGAAAAAGAAGAGUGGCGAACGGGUGAGUAACACGUGGGUAACCUGCCCAUCAGAAGGGGAUAACACUUGGAAACAGGUGCUAAUACCGUAUAACAAUCGAAACCGCAUGGUUUUGAUUUGAAAGGCGCUUUCGGGUGUCGCUGAUGGAUGGACCCGCGGUGCAUUAGCUAGUUGGUGAGGUAACGGCUCACCAAGGCCACGAUGCAUAGCCGACCUGAGAGGGUGAUCGGCCACAUUGGGACUGAGACACGGCCCAAACUCCUACGGGAGGCAGCAGUAGGGAAUCUUCGGCAAUGGACGAAAGUCUGACCGAGCAACGCCGCGUGAGUGAAGAAGGUUUUCGGAUCGUAAAACUCUGUUGUUAGAGAAGAACAAGGAUGAGAGUAACUGUUCAUCCCUUGACGGUAUCUAACCAGAAAGCCACGGCUAACUACGUGCCAGCAGCCGCGGUAAUACGUAGGUGGCAAGCGUUGUCCGGAUUUAUUGGGCGUAAAGCGAGCGCAGGCGGUUUCUUAAGUCUGAUGUGAAAGCCCCCGGCUCAACCGGGGAGGGUCAUUGGAAACUGGGAGACUUGAGUGCAGAAGAGGAGAGUGGAAUUCCAUGUGUAGCGGUGAAAUGCGUAGAUAUAUGGAGGAACACCAGUGGCGAAGGCGGCUCUCUGGUCUGUAACUGACGCUGAGGCUCGAAAGCGUGGGGAGCAAACAGGAUUAGAUACCCUGGUAGUCCACGCCGUAAACGAUGAGUGCUAAGUGUUGGAGGGUUUCCGCCCUUCAGUGCUGCAGCUAACGCAUUAAGCACUCCGCCUGGGGAGUACGACCGCAAGGUUGAAACUCAAAG
rnacentral:rRNA from 1 species